UCAGGUCUUGGGAGCUGGGCAAUUUCCACCGCACCCCCCUCCCCGAGACAUUUGAUGCCCUCUCCCCAGCACAGGGCUGGAACUCGGAGACCACCCCUACCACCGACUGGGUGCAGGGGCCCAGGCGAACCUCACAAGCAUGCCCAGAGCAGCCAACACUGAGGCCUGGGGUGAAGGUCCAGUGUCAGUCGCUGGGAAAAGGCAGUCUGGAGUGAACACAGGGCGCUAAACACUUAGAGGAGGAGGUUGGAGCCAGAGAAGCAACAAGCAAGCUAGGGAAGAUCUGCGUGGGCACAACGGGAGAGAGGAAGGCUGGCUGAGCCCCAGAGAUCCAGGGCAGCUUGUGGCUGGGCUUUGCUUUGUCUUUUGUGUGACAGGCUAUUCAUGUCUUACCAGCCUGUGUCGCAGAAGCAGACCAACCGCAGGCCCCCAACUAAGGCCCUUUCAAAUUCAUGCAGCAGAAAGGGUUCAAAACCUUCCUUGAUGGUCAGGAAGUUAUUGAACUAAACCCGAGGACCAGGAGAAGAGGAGAGCCUGCGGAGAGGGGACCUGCAGGAGCUCACACCUGCACAAAAUGUCCACAGGCCAAAGUGCGAAACCGUUGACUACAGUUUUGAUUCCUGCCCACUCUUUAGUACGGUUGUCUCUUGAUGUAUUGAAGGGACAUCACUCACCUGAGAAGAGGAGGAGAAGAAAAGUCCUAUUAUUGAGCACUUACAUGACAGGAGUAGAUCCAUAUUGGCUGGUUUGUAUACAUAUUUUCAUUUAAAAGCAGGAGUCCAAUUCUUUCUUCUAUCACCUGCAUCAACAGAAUAGA